rnacentral:misc_RNA from 1 species
CAGAAAACUAAAACACACAAAACAGAACAACUACUUCCACUCCUCCUCCUCCUUCCUCCUCCUUCUCCUUCCUCAUCUUCUCAUCUGUUUCUUGUUCUAAUAAUUUGAUCAAUAGCAACAGUUUCGCAUCAAGUUGUUCCGAAAUUGGAAGCUUCAAAUGCUAGAAAUGUGUUUCCGCUUUGUCUUGAAGCGUUUCCAGGAAGAUAGGUGUUUGGAGUGGAUGGAAGGCAGAACUGCAAACUAUCACAAGGUUGGUAAAUAUUAGCAACUGUAAUACUUCUAACGUGUACCAUUAUGGCGUCUGCCAGCCUAGGAAAUGGGGGAGUUGGAAGUUCUAGGUCUGUUAAUGGCUUCAAGAGUUCAUCAAGCUCAGUUGACUGGCUGGGGAGAGAGAUGUUUGAGAUGAGAUUGAGGGACAAGGCGGACCAUGAUGAAGACAGAGAUAGUGAACCAGAUAUAAUUGAUGGUGUGGGUACAGAAGCAGGACAUGUCAUAAGAACCACUAUAGGUGGUCGAAAUGGUCAAUCUAGACAGACAAUAAGUUAUAUAGCGGAGCAUGUGGUUGGAACUGGUUCUUUUGGUGUUGUCUUCCAAGCUAAAUGUCGGGAAACUGGAGAAAUUGUCGCUAUCAAGAAAGUUCUCCAAGACAAGCGCUACAAGAAUAGAGAGUUACAGAUUAUGCAGAUGUUGGAUCAUCCAAAUAUUGUUUCCCUUAAGAAUUGUUUCUUUUCAACAACUGAAAAGGAAGAGCUCUACCUAAAUCUGGUACUCGAAUAUGUUCCCGAAACUGUCAAUCGUAUUGCAAGGAGCUACAGCAGGAUCAACCAAAGAAUGCCUUUAAUAUAUGUUAAACUCUAUACCUAUCAGAUCUGUAGGGCACUUGCCUAUAUACACAAUUGCAUUGGUAUUUGUCACCGUGACAUCAAGCCUCAAAACUUACUGGUGAAUCCAAGCACGCAUCAACUGAAACUUUGUGAUUUUGGGAGUGCCAAAGUGCUGGUGAAAGGAGAACCCAAUGUCUCUUACAUCUGCUCAAGAUACUACCGUGCCCCAGAAUUGAUAUUUGGUGCUACUGAAUACACUACUGCCAUUGAUAUAUGGUCUACAGGUUGUGUGAUGGCUGAGUUGCUACUAGGGAAGCCUUUGUUUCCUGGUGAAAGUGGAGUUGACCAACUAGUUGAGAUCAUUAAGGUGAUGUUAUCUUUUGAUUCUCAUGUGCCUUUGGAAAUAUCUUGAUUUUAAGUUUUCCUAAUAUGUGAUUUUGAGAGUUAUAUUUUAACCCUUGAAAGUUUAAACAUCUCAAAUUAUCAAGCUUUGGUAUGUGCAAGGCAUUUAUAAAACUCUAUUUCUGGGUUGAAUUCAGAUGUUCUGAAAAUGAAAUUAAGUGCUGUUAUUUAAUAUCUUCUCUUGAUAAGUAUAUAUUUUGAUAGUCUAUGGCUAAAUGUUGGACUACGCAUUUUUUAAUAUUAGUUUAGACUCCAUUUGUAUAGGUGUGAAUAUCAAGUGAUGAGGUAUUUGAAUUUCAUAUUAUUUUGACAUUUUAUUUUCACUUGAAACACAUAUUCAAAUCCUUAAUCAUUCCAAAUGCAUGUGUAUCCAAAUGUAGCUUCAUAUUAUUUCCUUUGCAAUUUUUGCCCAAAACUAACAGAUCGCUCUUCUAUUUCGAGAAAGCAUGGAGAUGAAACUUAAAUUCUUAAGAAUACAAUUCACAUCAAAACACUCAACUUUCUCAUGUUUCAUCUUUGAUCCGCCUGAGUACCCCAGUUGAACUUGAAACCAGACAGCUUGUUUCAACUGCCAUUAGGGGAGUGCUUAAUAGCAAAUCUGUAAGUUGUUUUUCAGGUUUUGGGAACUCCAACAAGGGAGGAGAUAAAGUGCAUGAAUCCAAACUAUACCGAAUUUAAGUUUCCACAAAUAAAGCCUCACCCAUGGCACAAGGUUUAUGCUCUUCCUCCUUGCUCUUAAAUCCUUUGCUUAUGUUUGUGCUGUUCCUCCGUCUGAGCUUGAAUUGAACAGUGCUGAAAUAAAUGCAUUCUUAUGAUUUAAACUCGGAAGGUACAUGUUUAUGGCCUACAAUCUUUCAAAAGAAGUGCAGUAAUGGCUCCCAAGCCUCUUUAGAAAGACUCCUUGGGUAGAAACCUACCAGGCUUAGCUGCUAUGGGGCUUGCAGAAGGACUGGAAUUAGGAGCACGUUCUGCUCUUGGGGACUCACUGAAGUUUUAUAGGAAAGGUCUUCCAUAAGUGACCUGUUCAGGAAUUCACAAUGAAAAUUGAAUACUUGACUAAUAAGAAGCAACAUGCUAUGCUGCAUGUGAUUUUCCUAGAUAUGGUAUUCAAAAUAAGCUUCUGGAAAUGUCUAUUCUAGCUGCACAUAGAAUGUACAUCAUCUAAGAGUUCAAUCCAACCAGGUUAGCCACUAUAGGACCUGGAAAAACACUGGAAUUUGAAGGGUUACGUGUUGGGGAUUUACUGUGAAGUUUCAUAGUAAAGUACUUCCAUCUCAAUUGACUGGCUUCUAGCCUUACCUAAAUCCAGGAAAUAAUCACAAUAAAACAUUGAAUAUUAAACUAAUUAUUAGGCAAUCUUUUAUGCUACAUGUGAAUUUUCCAAAUGCGGUUUUUCAAAAUAAGCAGCUACAAACAUUUAUUUUACUUGUAUUUCUUGCUCUUGUUUCUUUUAUCUGCACUGUAUUUUCCCUCCAUUUUCAUCAUGCCUUUAGUAAUCCCUAUUUCUUUAAGCUAUUGAGAUUCACUCUGACGUCAUUCUCAUCUGCUAGGUUUUCCAAAAGCGUUUACCCCCAGAAGCAGUGGACCUUGUCUGUAGGUUUUUCCAGUACUCUCCCAAUUUGAGAUGCACUGCUUUGGAAGCUUGUGUGCACCCUUUCUUUGAUGAACUGAGAAAUCCAGAGACUCGCCUUCCCAAUGGCCGACCUCUCCCGCCACUAUUUAAUUUUAAACCUCAAGAACUUUCAGGCAUACCACCAGACAUUGUCAACCGGCUUAUUCCGGAGCACGCUCGUAAGCAGAACUUAUUCAUGGCUUUGCACACCUAGCAACUGUUACAAAAUCUUUGCAUGUGCAGUGUCUUCUAUGCGAUUGUCUUAUAUCAUCAUACUGUAAAAAUUCUCUGCUUUUGUUGUCUUCAACUUCUUUCCUGUGAGAGAAUGCUGCAAAGAUUAGUUCUUUUAGGACAUUCUGGAAACCUGAGGUUUUGUUUUUCCAGUUUGCUUCUGUGCCUGGUAAAGUUGUUUUGUGGUAGUCUAUAGCUUAUGAUGUAUAUUCAUAAAAAGCCAUCUGUUAUGAGGGAUUUUAGUAAGGUGAAAUAUUUGAGAACAUUUAUAUGUU